rnacentral:piRNA from 1 species
UAAGUUUACAGUUAAUCCUGACAGUGCCA